ACUUCCUAAGCCGGAACGAAAAGUCUCUUUGUAGCGAUACAUUGGCACUUUUGGCUUUGUGGUUGUGAUGUUGUGUUUGCAAGUUGUCUGGGAAACCAGACUUUGUAGCGUAAGCUACUGUUUUUUUUCACUUCCUGUACAUUUACCCUGUCUGUCCAUAGUGAUUUUUUUAAUGCACCGCCGUUGCGGUGCUUUUUUUC
rnacentral:other from 1 species